AAUGGCAGCAAUCGGGCACCGAGCAGCAGGGGCUCAUGGCGGAAUCACGAGCAUCGGCACAUAGUGACAGCACUGGCCAUGGCGGCAGCUAUCGGCUCGACGGAGAGACUGCGGCGCUGUAAAAUCAGAAAGAGGAGAUGAAGGUAGAAGCAAGACGGAGAGAGUAGACGACGGAGGAGAGAAACAAGUGAAAGGGGGAGGAAGAUUUGAGAUUGCAGGCGUUAGCAAAUUGAGAGAUGGGAGUUCACGUAAGGAGAUGGAUUGGAGUACUUGGUAUGAGCCAAAUUAAUUAAAUGAAGAUUGGGCCGGAGUAUACUAAACCAAUAGGUGACUUCAUGCACGCUUUUCGAGAAUGAAACGUAAAGAAGAAUUAAGAAGCUAAAUGAACGAGGUUGAGCUGUGACGAGCGCGGUGGGUGUUGAGCAUAAAAGUGAAGAAGAUGUUUAUCAAAUGUUAGGAAUAUGUUGUGUCUUCAUACAUGACAUUAUUCUACUCUCGAAUGCUUCCGCUAAAUAGUAUUUCUUUUCAGUUCAAGUAUUGUUGAGAUAAUAUUCAUUCUGAGUUGUUGAUUGUUGAAGUGAUACUCUGAUU